UACGUAGGGGGCUAGCGUUGUCCGGAAUCAUUGGGCGUAAAGAGCGUGUAGGCGGCUCGAUAAGUCCGCUGUAAAAGUCAAAGGCUCAACCUUUGAAUGUCAGUGGAUACUGCCGGGCUAGAGUCCGGAAGAGGCGAGUGGAACUCCUGGUGUAGCGGUGGAAUGCGCAGAUAUCAGGAAGAACACCGACGGCGAAGGCAGCUCGCUGGGACGGUACUGACGCUGAGACGCGAAAGCGUGGGGAGCGAACAGG
rnacentral:rRNA from 1 species